AGAUGAACACAGCCAAAUUAUCCUGAGUCCUUGACAGGUCACCUCUGCAAUGCCACUGUCUGUCAAUGGAGGGGAAAAAACCUCCUGCUAUCAACCUGUGUGUGAUGGUGGUAAUGCUCUCUUCCCCACCUCUUUAUCAGUAAAAGAAAUUCAACCUAAAUCUAGAUGUGUCCGGGAGUGUGGUUUUAGUUGUUUAAAAUACAAAAAUAAACAAAUAAUAAAACUAGCCAAAAUGGAUGAACGCGUUUAGACAUGGAAAAGGCUUGUCAAGCAUACCAUCCCACACAUGCUAGUGCUCACGUUAGCGUCUCCCAUCGCCGUAUAAGAAUUUCUGGGAAAUGAAAAGGAAUCGCUAGUCAACUAUUUUUUUAUAAAAAUAUAUUAAAAUGGGAUUCAGUUCUAUCAUGCACAAAAGACUAACAUUUGUUUUAAUAUAUUAAUCAUGAAAAAUAAUUUUUUUAUUAUAAAUCUAAGUUGAAGUUGUUUUUCAAAAACCACGUCAAACAUGCUCUAACUUGAGUAUUUGAAUCAAUUUAUAUUCACCUCGAUUAAUUUUACGGGUCCUGAAAUUAAUAAUAUAUAAACUUUUAAUAGUCUAAAAAAAAUUUAAACUCGUAAUAAUUAAAGAGUAAAUAUAAUGACUAACCAAUUAAUCUAUACCGUUAGAUAUCUCUUCUUCUUAUUUUAUGAUAAAAUGGGAAAAUGGGAUUUAUUACCUAAUCAAAAUAACUUUUUGUUGUUGUAAGAUAUGCCUUUACUUUAUUUUAUCGGGAAAGUCCUGUGAAAGAAGAAAUUUCUACCAGUUGUCAUGAAUUACUUUGAGGGAUUGUUCUCAGGAUUCGAAAUAUGGGAUUAUUCCCUCUCCAAGAAUAUCCUAUUGUCUUAUUAAAAUUUAAAAUGUUUCCCUCGUAAGAAUAUUAAAAUUUAAAUUUUCCUGGUACCACUUCCUAUUUUGGUACUCGCUAACAAAUCAUUUCUAGUUCGAGCAUGUUUAGAAAUCUAAUUAUAAUUAUUUUUAAAGUAAUUUUUUAUGUUAAAAUUUAUUAAAAUAAUAUUUUUUUUUAUUUUUUAAAAUUUAUUUUUAAAAUUAGCACAUUAAAAUAAUAAAAAUGAUACAAAAAAAAUUAAAUUUUUUUAAAACACAAGUACUACCCCGUUUCCUACACCUUUUAAAAUUUAAUUCCCACCAUUUAAAUUGAUCUGAUAAAAAUUAAAAUAAUAUAUUUUUAAUAAAAAUAAUUGAUUUCAUGACAUACUGAUUAAUCUAAUGAAUAAUAAUUCAGAUUUUUUUUUCCCCAGUAAAUUCCAGACCUGAUGUAACACGAAAUCUCAAACAUCAAAUUUUAACAAUGGACUAAAUCUCUCUAAUUUUGCAUUAGUUUUCUCAUUCUUAAUGAUUUCAAAUUAUGCUAAGCGAGGGAUGUUUCAGACAUUUAACACCCAAUCCCCACCGAACUAAACACCAAAAAACAGAAGAAAUGCAUAGUUCCUUCGACACCACUACCAGCAACCACCCCCAUCAUCCUUCACAAUAACAGCUCUCCGUUCUCCGAUAAUGAAACGACAUGCAGAUCCUCUAACCGUCUUGUCGUUCUGGUGCCUCCUUAUCCUCUUACUACCAAUCCUGACCGUCGGAUUUGCUGAUCGUCUACAAGCAUCCGACCCACCUCUCAGUCUGCUCAAAACGGCGCUGCAACAAGAACAAAAACCAGAGGGGAUAAAGAGCCUUCGGGUACGGGAGGGGGCACCGUUUAAGAUCGCGCUCUUUGCUGACUUGCAUUUUGGAGAGAACGCGUGGGACUGAUUGGGGCCCACAACAGGACGUUAAUUCCAUCAAGGUCAUGUCCUCUGUUCUCGACGAUGAAUCACCAGGUGAUGAUAUAAUCCUCUUCCUCUCUAAAGUAGAUUUUUUUUUUUUACUUAUACUCUUUUCAAAUGUGGCUAGCAUAGCUUUUAAAUUCAGCCGUCCAUUGAUUAACUUGAUACUCCAUCAGUUUAGAUAGUGAUUGUUCAGUAAUUUAGUGUAAUGUGUUUUUUUAUUUAUAAAUGAAUUAAUUUUUUUAUAUUGGUAUGUUAAAAUAUAUUAAUUUGAUAUAUUUUUUUAUAAAAAAAUAUUUUUAAAAUGCAAUCCAAUAUAAUUAGAAAUAUAAUAUCUAACAAACACUAAAUCCAAACGAGAUUUAAUAGGGUAAAUUUUAAUUUAAAUUAUUUUAAAUUAUUAAUAUAUUAUUAUUUGAUAAUGAGUGUUUAGUAUUCGUAUAAUGUAUUUUUUAAAAUAAAUCAAAUUUUUUUUUUUUUUUAAUAUCAACAUAUUAAAAUUAUUAAAAAAAUAUUAAUUUAAUAUCUUUUAAAAUAAAUAAAUUUUUAAAAUGCAAUUAAAUACAUGUAAAAUUGCAACAUCAAACAAGCAAUAAAUAGGGUAAAUUUUAAUUUAAAUCAUUUUGAGAUUACCAUGUCAGCGGAUUCUUAGCCGGGUUGGAUCCUAGGCCGGGUAUAAAGACAAUUGUAAGCAUGCAUUGUUGCUUAAUAAUAAUAAUAAUAAUCUCAAAGAGUCAAAAUAAUCGAUUUAGCGUGGCGGCGGCGGCGGUCCAACAUUUGAUAUACACUCGGUGUGUUAUAAAUCCCACUUUUUUCCAUGUUAUGAUCUUGCCUAGAAUUAAAUAAAUUUUUUUUCUUGAAUAUAAUGGUUGGCAUAACUUGUAUAAGAGUCAAUCAGAAUUACCACACAAAUAGGCUAAUUAAUUUAGUAAUUUUCUUGUCACAAUGUAAUUAAUACGUUCUAUUUUUUCUUAAAUUUGAAUUACAGUUAAUAUAAUACGAGUAUUUAGCAGAUUUUGUGAUAUAUCUUGGGGAUGUAAUAACGGCAAACAACAUACCAAUUGCAAACGCAAGCUUGUAUUGGGAUAAAGCAAUAUCUCCAACGAGGGCAAGGGGCAUACUGUGGGCUAGUGUCUUUGGUAAUCACGAUGAUGCACCAUUUGAGUGGCCAAUGGAGUGGUUUUCUUCUCCUGGAAUUCCUCCUGUUCAUUGCCCUGCACCUAACGCGUCAUCAUGCUCAGGUAAGACUGUAGAGCUUUAACCUCCGAGCUAUGGAAAUGGAAUAAUUAAUAAUUUCUUGAUAGCCCAUUAAUCCUGUUUUUUUACUUGGUAGUUCCUGUUUCCCAAGAUUAUUGCUUUUUCCUUUUCCUUUUGAGCUAGUGUAUGGCAAUGGGCUAGCAUGUUUGUUGCUGCUUCUUUUUAGCGAGAUUGAUGUAGCUUUUCUUACUUAGGGUUACAAUUUCCGUUCCAGGGGAAAGGGACUGCAGCUUUAGAGGCACACAACGGAUAGAGCUAAUGAAAGGAGAAAGGAGAUUGAGCAUAAUCACCUAACGUUGUCUAAAAAUGGUCCAAAAGAUCUGUGGCCAAGUAUAUCCAACUAUGUCCUCCAGCUCUCAUCAUCAGAUGAUCCAGAAUCACCAGUUCUGUUCAUGUAUUUCCUAGACUCCGGUGGCGGAUCCUAUCCUGAAGUUAUUUCAAAUGCUCAAGCAGAAUGGUUCCAGCAUGUAUCCGAGGAGAUCAACCCUGAUUCAAGGUACAGGGGCUAUGGCCUGCCUUGAUUAGUCGUGGUAGAUCCGAAAGAUCUCAUGUAUACCUACAUGAUAAGUAAAAGUGAUAAACCAAAUGGGGUCCCUAUUGAUCGUAUACACGGGAUGUGAAACAAUGCUGGUCUAAAAUUAUAUGGAAACAAACUGGGAAUUUCAUUGAACAUGUGUUUUUUUUCCCUUUUUUAACAGGGUUCCUGAGGUUGUCUUUUGGCAUAUACCAAGCAAAGCUUACAAGAAAGUGGCUCCCAGGUUAAGGAUCCACAAGCCUUGUGUUGGUUCCAUGAACAAAGAAAAAGUUGCUGCUCAAGAAGCUGAAUUGGGUUUCAUGGACAUGCUAGUUAAACGGUCUUCUGUCAAGGUGAGUUCCUGCUCAAGAAACAACGUUCAAUGCUUAAAAUUAACUCAACACUUUCAACCCAUUGUGGAAGUUUGAAAAUUCAGGAUAAUGGAGUAACUCCGGAGCAUUGUGUUCUAUAGUCUUUCUUCAAAAGUUGAAGGAAGGUUAUUGAACAAAUAACUUACAGUUCCAACGAGUUUUGACAACCCAAUAAAGAAGUAGGUUUUGAUGGCAGGGGGGCCAGAUAGAGGACGUGCUACCUGUGGAUAAGUUUUGUGGAAGUUGAAGCUCAAAUAAAGUUGUUCAUCUGCUUUAAAGUUUGACAAAGCCAAACGGGGGUCCCUAUUGAUCGUACUUCUUUGGAUUGUGGCAGGCAGUGUUUGCAGGACACAACCAUGGAUUGGACUGGUGCUGCCCCUACAAGAAACUUUGGCUAUGUUAUGCUAGGCAUACUGGUUAUGGUGGCUAUGGAAAUUGGCCGAGAGGAGCUAGAAUUCUGGAGAUUAAUGACCAGCCCUUCUAUAUCAAGUCAUGGAUAAAGAUGGAAGAUGGAGAUGAACACAGCCAAAUUAUCCUGAGUCCUUGACAGGUCACCUCUGCAAUGCCACUGUCUGUCAAUGGAGGGGAAAAAACCUCCUGCUAUCAACCUGUGUGUGAUGGUGGUAAUGCUCUCUUCCCCACCUCUUUAUCAGUAAAAGAAAUUCAACCUAAAUCUAGAUGUGUCCGGGAGUGUGGUUUUAGUUGUUUAAAAUACAAAAAU
rnacentral:lncRNA from 1 species